GACGAACGCUGGCGGCGUGCCUAAUACAUGCAAGUUGAGCGCUGAAGGUUGGUACUUGUACCAACUGGAUGAGCAGCGAACGGGUGGGUAACGCGUGGGGAAUCUGCCUUUGAGCGGGGGACAACAUUUGGAAACGAAUGCUAAUACCGCAUAAAAACUUUAAACACAAGUUUUAAGUUUGAAGGAUGCAAUUGCAUCACUCAAAGAUGAUCCCGCGUUGUAUUAGCUAGUUGGUGAGGUAAAGGCUCACCAAGGCGAUGAUACAUAGCCGACCUGAGAGGGUGAUCGGCCACAUUGGGACUGAGACACGGCCCAAACUCCUACGGGAGGCAGCAGUAGGGAAUCUUCGGCAAUGGACGAAAGUCUGACCGAGCAACGCCGCGUGAGUGAAGAAGGGUUUCGGAUCGUAAAACUCUGUUGGUAGAGAAGAACGUUGGUGAGAGUGGAAAGCUCAUCAAGUGACGGUAACUACCCAGAAAGGGACGGCUAACUACGUG
rnacentral:rRNA from 1 species